AUUGAACGCUGGCGGCAGGCCUAAUACAUGCAAGUCGAGCGGAUGAAGGGAGCUUGCUCCUGGAUUCAGCGGCGGACGGGUGAGUAAUGCCUAGGAAUCUGCCUGGUAGUGGGGGAUAACGUCCGGAAACGGGCGCUAAUACCGCAUACGUCCUGAGGGAGAAAGUGGGGGAUCUUCGGACCUCACGCUAUCAGAUGAGCCUAGGUCGGAUUAGCUAGUUGGUGGGGUAAAGCCCUACCAAGGCGACGAUCCGUAACUGGUCUGAGAGGAUGAUCAGUCACACUGGAACUGAGACACGGUCCAGACUCCUACGGGAGGCAGCAGUGGGGAAUAUUGGACAAUGGGCGAAAGCCUGAUCCAGCCAUGCCGCGUGUGUGAAGAAGGUCUUCGGAUUGUAAAGCACUUUAAGUUGGGAGGAAGGGCAGUAAGUUAAUACCUUGCUGUUUUGACGUUACCAACAGAAUAAGCACCGGCUAACUUCGUG
rnacentral:rRNA from 1 species